GAUGGGCCUUAGCUGUGGCCACGCUGGAGCCUGCAGAGAAUGAGGAGGAGAUGUGAGAGGAGGGUAGGCUCAAGAGCUGGAGGGAAGAGGAGAAGGAAGAAGAGAAGGUUCCAUCUGGUAGCCAGGAUGGUGGAUGAUGGGAAAGUGUCGUUGUUACCAUUUUGCAGAUGAAAAAAGUGAGGCUGAGAAAGAUUAAACAGCAGAGAUGGGAUUUGAAUUCAGAUCUGGAUGAUUCAAUGCCUAGCCCCAGAUUCUGGUUCUGCAUUCCACCUCCAAGAAGAACACCAUCUCCACCUGCAGCCCUCACUUCCACAUACCCCCAGUCCUCUGUGCUCUUGCUGAUAUGAACUCUCCACAAGGAAACUACGCAGCAAGACAGAUUUGCAUGGACAUAGACCAAGGCUUUUCAUAUACCUGGUGCCUUGAAGGCACUGGUAUGUGUGUAUUGCCUGUGAACAGAUGGGCAGCUCCAUCCCUCAUGUCCCAGUCACCCAUGUGGGUUUACUGCAAUGAAUUUUACUCCUAUUUUUCCCAAUUUCAUCAUUGCCCUUUUAUUUUAUUAAUAAAGGACUCCUGCUUAGUUUUGAAG
rnacentral:lncRNA from 1 species